rnacentral:rRNA from 1 species
AGGAUGAACGCUGGCGGCGCGCCUAACACAUGCAAGUCGAGUGCAUUUAGAUGCACGGCGAACGGGUGAGUAAUACGCUACUAUCUGCCUUUAGGUUGAGGAUACCCCGUUGAAAGACGGAAUAAUACUCAAUAGACCCUCCGGGGUAAAGAUUUAUCGCCUAAAGAGGAGGUAGCGUCCUAUCAGUUUGUUGGUGGGGUAAUGGCCUACCAAGACUACGACGGGUAGCUGGUCUGAGAGGAUGAUCAGCCACAAUGGGACUGAGACACGGCCCAUACUCCUACGGGAGGCAGCAGUUGGGAAUCGUACGCAAUGGGCGAAAGCCUGACGUCGCGACGCCGCGUGAAGGAUGAAGGCCUUCGGGUCGUAAACUUCUUUUAUUAGGGAAAAUUAUGAUGGUACCUAAUGAAUAAGUGACUGCUAACUACGCGCCAGCAGCCGC